rnacentral:misc_RNA from 1 species
UGGAGACAUAGUAACCAGU